rnacentral:tRNA from 1 species
UGUUAAAUUUAUUAAUAUCUCUUUUUUUUAUCAGUUUUUGGCUAGCCAAUAAUUUCGGCCCAAAACUUUUUAAAAUUAGGCGCUGUAAAUUUCGAACUUUUCGAAAGUUCUUUUUUUUUAAUUGUUUAACUACACGAGUUUGUAAUUUAAAAAUAUUUUUAUAAAUACUGCACCAAUUUAUGGUUUUUAUAUUUUUAAGUUUUUUAUAUGAAUAGAUGUUCAUAAAGCUUCGAUAAAUAAAAGAGAUGGUCCUCUUCAGGUAGGAUUUGAACCUACAACCUCUCGGUUAACAGCCGUUUGCUCUACCCUUGAGCUACUGAAGAAUCUUAAAAAUAUAAUAUCUUUUUUUUAAUUUUUUUUCAAGUCUUUUUAGUUAAAUAUUAAUUUUUAAUAUAUAAAUAUUAAUAAAAUAAAAAUAAAUUAAUUGUUAUACUUUAUUGUAACAACCUUAAAUUGGUUUUAUAAAUUAAUUUUAAAGGUUAA